AGUGAACGCUGGCGGUAGGCCUAACACAUGCAAGUCGAACGGUAGCACAGGAGAGCUUGCUCUCUGGGUGGCGAGUGGCGGACGGGUGAGGAAUACAUCGGAAUCUACUCUGUCGUGGGGGAUAACGUAGGGAAACUUACGCUAAUACCGCAUACGACCUACGGGUGAAAGCAGGGGAUCUUCGGACCUUGCGCGAUUGAAUGAGCCGAUGUCGGAUUAGCAAGUUGGCGGGGUAAAGGCCCAUCAAGGCGACGAUCCGUAGCUGGUCUGAGAGGAUGAUCAGCCACACUGGAACUGAGACACGGUCCAGACUCCUACGGGAGGCAGCAGUGGGGAAUAUUGGACAAUGGGCGCAAGCCUGAUCCAGCCAUACCGCGUGGGUGAAGAAGGCCUUCGGGUUGUAAAGCCCUUUUGUUGGGAAGGAAAUCCAGCUGGCUAAUACCCGGUUGGGAUGACGGUACCCAAAGAAUAAGCACCGGCUAACUUCGUGCCAGCCGCCGCCGUAA
rnacentral:rRNA from 1 species